rnacentral:rRNA from 1 species
CCUACGGGAGGCAGCAGUAGGGAAUCUUCCACAAUGGGCGAAAGCCUGAUGGAGCGACGCCGCGUGAGGGACGAAGGCCUUCGGGUCGUAAACCUCUGUCCCCAGGGACGAGAGAGGACGGUACCUGGGGAGGAAGCCACGGCUAACUACGUGCCAGCAGCCGCGGUAAU